AUAAAACCAGGCUGCCCGAGCUAGCAGUAGUAAUUUGCUUGGGUCCUCUUCUAAUGUGUGGCAGGUUUGUUUUUUCGCUCUUUGCAAUUAAAUCUUGCCAUUGCUCACUCUUUGGGUCCACACUGCUUUUAUGAGCUGUAACACUCACCGCGAAGGUCUGCAGCCUCGCUGCUGAAGCCAGCGAGACCACGAACCCACCGGGAGGAACGAACAACUACAGCUGCGCCGCCUUAAGAGCUGUAACACCGCGAAGGUCUGCAGCUUCACUUCUGAGCCAGCGAGACCACGAACCCACUAGAAGGAAGAAACUCCGGACAUGCCCCCUUUAAGAACUGUUAACACUCAGCGCGAGGGUCCGAGGCUUCUUUCUUGAAGUCAGUGAGACCAAGAACCCACCAAUUCUGGACACAGUGACAAGGAAAAGACAGCGGUAAUUGCCACAUUGAGUGAACCAAGUUUCUAAAUGGCUGGCAUUUGCAUAUUAAAGGUUGCCUGCCCGGCCCUUCAAGCCACCUUUUCUGUUAGAAAAGAGAUGGUUCGGGGCUGUUUUUUUAUUACAGGAAAAUUUCCUCCGAGAACCUUUACCCUGAGUAGCUGCCUGGAAAUUAUUUCUUAAGAACACCUGUAUCACCAGCCUGCAUCUCCCUCAAAGCAGAACCUGAGAUAAAAAGGCUUCUGUGUGAGUGUUUUUUCUGAGAAUGAGGGAAAUACAGAAAGACGGUGGAAGUGGGGAAGGAAAGCUCCUAAGAGUACGCAGUAUUGAAAUGGUCCCUGCCUGCAGGUGGCUGGUUUCUGACCAGGGUAGGUGUGCCGCCAGGCCUGGUGAGAGGGGCUCUUGCUUUUCUAGACACUGCCUCCCUGUGCUCUACCAUGCUGUAGACUCAUUUCUAUUAAUGAGUUGCUCCGUCAAUAUGCAACUCACAUUUGGUGACAAUUAUUUUCAUUAAAUAACCAGAUGAACAGCCUCUCUGAGUAUUUGAGUAAAGAACAAAGGCCGUUUUGGGGGAAGUCGGACCUGAAUGGGUCUUGGUGCACAAGAAGCUGAGAAAGCAGGAGAGAAGAAUCCAGAGGAAAAAGAGGGAUUCACACAGGAGUGAAGCUAGCACUUGUUUGCUGAACUGUGGAAGAACUGCAAGGUCACGCACAUUAUUCAUGAUAAAGCAACCAAGCUGAUGAGUCUGUGCUUAAUUAUAGAAUAACCAGUAGGAGAGAGAGAGAACACAAGGAGUUCACCACCACCGCAGGUGCUCUCAAAGGAAGAGGGGUUAACAGAUGAAUUCACAAAGGCAGAUCUAUACAGAAUACUGAAUGCCAUGUGUAAAUCCUCAUGAAACUCCAGAAACAGGAACACCACACAAUGCAUAUACUUUGAUUUACACAUUCCAUUACAAAGGAAAAAAAGACACCAUUACAACUUGGUAUGUAACUGCAUUAACUGCGAUAUAAACCAAGUCCAGAGUUUGGCAGGUAACUAAAAGUGGGUUAUCACUUAGGUUAUAUAGCAAAAGUGUUGAUGUAUAUUAUAUAGAGUAGUAUAAAUAAUAACAAAUUAUUAUUUAAAUUAGAUCACAGUGCUGCAUUAUGUGCAUAACAGUGAUAUAGGGACCUACGACACUAAGGACUUAACUGUUACCACUGGGAAGUCACAAUCAAGAGGAAACACAGAGUUCCAAUGUUUUCUUUUGGUGGCAAAAAAAAUCCUGAAGAUGGCUGGGCGCGGUGGCUCACGCCUGUAAUCCCAGCACUUUGGGAGGCCGAGGUGGGUGGAUCACGAGGUCAGGAGAUCGAGACCAUCCUGGCUAACACAGUGAAACCCCGUCUCUACUAAAGAUACAAAAAAAUCCCCCAAAAAUUAGCUGGGCGUGAUGGUGGGCACCUGUAGUCCCAGCUACUCGGGAGGCUGAGGCAGGAGAAUGGGGUGAACCCAGGAGGCAGAGCUUGCAGUGAGCCGAGAUCGCGCCACUGCAUUCCAACCUGGGCGACAGUGAGACUCCGUCU
rnacentral:lncRNA from 10 species